ensembl:lncRNA TEX41 testis expressed 41
UAUUGUGGAGUUUACUGCUGGAGUCCAAUGGUGCGAUGUCUGCUUACUGCAACCUCUGCCUCCCGGGUUCAAGCGAUUCUCCUGUCUCAGCCUCCUGAGGAGAUGGGACUACAGGCACCCUUGGAAAUGCAAUGCUACAUCUCAAUGGGAUUUUCCAGUACAAAGAUUCUUUUCAAAUAACAUAAUUGUGGAUACACACCACUCCUACAGUGACACAAAGCAAAUUCGAGCGAUUUUCUUAUUUGAGUUCAAAAUGGGCUGUAAAGCAGUGGAGACAACUCGCAACAUCAACAAUCCAUUUGGCCCAGGAACUGCUAAUGAAUGUACAGUGGAGUGGUGGUUCAAGAAGUCUGGCAAAGGAGAUGAGAGCCUUGAAGAUGAGGAGUGUAGUGGCUGACCAUUGGAAAUUGACAACAACCAAUUAAGAGCGGUCAUCAAAGCUGAUCCUCUUACAAUGACACAAGAAGUUGCCAAAGAACUCAAUGUUGACCAUUCUUUGGUCAUUCAGCAUUUGAAGCAAAUUGGGAAGGUGAAAAAGCUUGAUGAGUGGGUGCCUCAUGAGCUGAGCGAAAAUUUUUUUAAAAAUCAUUGUUUUGAAGCGUUGUCUUCUCUUAUUCUACGCAACAACAGUGAACCAUUUCUCUAUCAGAUUGUGAUGUGCAAGGAAAAGUGGAUUUUAUAUGACAAUUGGUGAUGCCCAGCUC